AAGGAGGAACUAGAGAAGAGAGGCUGCCAAUUAAGUACGGGUUUGUGAAGUAAAUUUUAUAUCAAUGAAUGAAGAAGGUCUGGUUUGGUUUUUAGCAUUUUGAAAUCCCUCUACUUUCUGCAUGUCUGCUUAUGCGUUUGUGUGAGAGUUUAAUUUCCUGUCCUUAUUUUCUUUUAUCAUAUGGUAUAUAGGCAUCAAACUGUUGGAAAAAAAUAGGCAUACAGUUCAUUUAGUGUUUACCUAAGAAAAACCUUUUAUCAGCUUCAUUUCACAUAAGUUAGAUAAUUAAAAAAAAUUCUAUUUACAUCUUAAAGUCUUUUGUACUUAAGGUCCUUUAGUUUCAUUGGAUGAAAACCUGACAGUGUUCAACACACACGCGAUGAUAAAAGGUGUUCUUUACAGACAUAUGGCUGAAUACAAACCCAAAAAUCCUAAUAGAAGACGAGGACAAUUCACUAUGGAGGAAAGUCAAGAAAACAAGGAGUCUAUGGUAUGAAAUUCUGAAUUCUUAAAACUGCAACAGAGAGGAGUGGAAUUACUGCCAGUGGCAUAGCAGUCAGUGUGCUUAUUGUUCCCAAUGAACAGAUAACCGACCUAUUGUAUACCAAUGGAGCAUGGAAGGAUGGCUUUACAACAUUUAGGCUUGGUUGACAAGAAAUAUUCUGUGAAAUAUCAUUGUAAGUCUCUGCUUACUGUCACUUUAAGUUGGUGAAUAAGUUGAGGUUGAUUGAUUGUUUCACUAAUCUCCCUAAAGUUAAGCAGACUAAUAUCGUAGAAAGUCCAUAUGACUUUGCUAUUGCGGAUUAUCUCACUAAUGUGCCUCCUUUCCGAGGUUCCUCCUAGGACCGCGAUUUCAACAUUUUUUUUGAUAAAACCCUACCCCCACUUCUAUCUUUUUUCGAUGUCAUCAUACUUUUAUGGUCUAUAAUAUGAGCUUAUAGAUGUAUUGCCAAAAGACUAUAUGAUCUGGAAAUUCUUCAGUUGCUUCAUGAUUUCUCAAACGGUUAUGAUCUGACAUACAAAUGUUUGGAUUAUUGGUUGUUAAUACCUUAACGAAAAAACAUGAGUCUUAUUUCAAUUUUUCAUCCCGUGAUUAUCAAUGAAAGAGAAGGUCCCUAAAAUUCGAUUUGGCCUAUUCGAUAACUUUGUUCUAUUUCCGUAAAAUUCCUAUUUGUCUGAGAUUAGCGCUACUGAUCUAAUCCAGUAGCCUGGAAUUUUUAUGCUCUUCUAACAUCAAAAUAUGGAGAAGUAAAUGAAGAUGUUCCUCCUGCUAAUAUUGUUCAUACAACACCAACAAAUGGGUACAAUAAGAGUCGUUUGGAUACACACAUUAUUUCAUAGGUAUUGUUGGUGUUAGAUGUUGGUUUCUAUAGUCUUUUCAAUAACAUUUGGUUUUGGCGUUGGCUUACACAGGGAUUGUUGCGCUCACAAUUCUGCGAAUGAAGAUAAUGAUCACCGGAGCAAUUCGCCAAGCAAAUCAUCAUCCUCUCUUAGGGAAUGAUCUUCAACUACCUCUUGAAAUAGUACUUCAGCGAAUGCUGCAUUAGAAGCUCAGGGAUAAGCUCAACAGAAGUUCAAGCAAAUUAUCGUUAUGAUCCUUAUAAUAGAGAUAUAUCCUGGAUUAUUUUCAGGGGAAAAAAUAAGUUUGUGAAGUUCAAGUGUCUCCAAAGUUUAAAAUUCCAGUUUAAGAUGAUUGUUAUAAUAGUUUCACAUAUUAGUUACAUACAAACAUAGAUGAGAUGCGGUGAAAGUUGCAUAGUCCCAGUACCUUUUUGGUGCAAUUGUUUUGUGAAUAAAAUUACCUUAUACAAAAUUUUCAUGUCUUUGAUCUGUGAACUUCUGAAUUUAAGUUUCUUUGACAUUGACAAUGAUAUAGUUCAGAGCAGUGUUUUGCACAAUGCCAUAAAGAAAAUUUCAGAAGUUACUCCAAGAAGUUCGAUCACAACU